CAAUGAUGAUACCACCAGCUGGCACCAGUCAUAGGGCGACUUGUACUCCCUCCAUUGAUGAUAAAGCUGCAGUCUUCGGACAAACUCCUGAC
rnacentral:snoRNA from 1 species